AUGCGCGCUGCAGCAGCUACGAAGUCGGCGCCGGCUGCGCUCGGGGGACCAGCGGGAGGGAGGCUGCGGACGAGUGCGGGGAGGAGUCUGCGCUGGGAGGCGCUUGCAGGGGCUCCCCCAGUUCUGCGCCGAGAGCCGCGGCACAAAGAGCUCUCUGCGCCCACCAGAGCUGUGGCCUCUCCCUGCCCAUGCACGUGGUUUCUGAGACACGCGUGUGGCCGCCAUGACCCAGUGGCAGCAAAGGGCCCGGGGCUGUUUGCAGAGUACGGCGAUCCGGGGACCCAGGAGACAGAAGAGAGCGCCCAGAUUGUUCCGGACCUGCACGGUCAGCGGGAGCCACCUUGCAGAUAAGUGUGGGACUGGCCAGCCUGCAGCCCUCUGGCCCGCCCCCUGCUGGCCUGUUCAGCAAAGUGCUGGAUCCCAGGAUCAGGAAGAGGGAGGGAGGGUAAUCCGUGAGGCCCCUACUCACUUUUCUACCUCUGUGCCAGAAAGAAAGAGCUUGUCCCUGUUUUGUGGGGCGCAAGAAAAGGCGAUCGGUAUUCCGGAUUCCCGACUCGCUGUCCAGUGCUCCCUCCCAGCCGUCAGCAAGCUGCAAGUUUCUCCUGUGUUCUCUCGGGUCGCCUGUGACGUUGCUGGGGAGCGGGUGGGGGUGGUGCAGGGAGACCUGGCCUCCGCGCUCUCUGGGGAUGUUCUGGGGUGGGAGCCAGGGGAGGUGGAGAGUGGUGCGCCCCCACCCCCCGCCGGGCUCCCAGGCCACCUGCUCACCAGCAGGGAGUUCUGGCUAUGCCCAGGCUGGGGCGGGGGUUGGGGUAGGGGUGGGGGGAUGGUGAGGGCUGGAUGCUGUUUUCUCCCGAGUUGUGUUUGGUGCUUUUUUUUUUUCCUUCCAGGAUGGGGCUGUGGGGUCGACAUGGGGAAUGAGCCGGAGCCGGGCCUGGGCUGCCGAGGCACUGGCUGGAGGCUGCCAGGGCAUGCACUGCGUCCCUUCUCUGAGCUGGACUCGGGGAUCCAGCGGUGAGCACCUGAGAUGCCCCGUACUGUUCCCUGGGAUCUUCAGGAGCCUCUGCUCCGGCCGCGUGGCCAGGACUCCAGGCCUGGUGCCAGCAGCUGUCAGUGGUUUUCUGGACCUCUGGGUGAUCCUGCCAAGACCUCAGCCUUCCCCAUGCACAGGACGGAGCCUGCUGUGGACGCGAGCCCUCCCUGGCCGACACUCCGCUGAGGACUGAACUGGAUGUCAAGGGCAGCUCAAGGGUACAGCAGGGGCCGCAGCAGCCGCCUGCCUGUCGCAUCUGCUGGGCUCCAGUGUCUGGGGCUGGGGGUCACUUCCUGACCCCGCUUGGACUCGGUUCCUCCUCGGGUCUCUGCCUGCGACCUGGGGCCAGGUCUCCCUGACCACGCCUUCCCUCGGGCUGUGUCUCAGAGGAAGCCACAGCUCGAAGCAGGCGUGAGACAGGGGUCGGGAGGGGCUCUGCGCGGGCUGGAGGCUGUGGGGACUUCCUAGGGGACACUUUCCCUGGUGGCUUGGGAGGAGUAGGGGCCUGGCCUCAGGGUGCUCCAGCUCUGGGGGCUUGGUGGGGGUGCAGCUGGAGGGGCAGCGGGGGCAGUGCCCUGGAAAGAUAGUUCUUGGGUGAGGAGGCGCCGAGGCCAAGGAGACGCAUUAGGAAAGACAUAGCCAGCUCCAGGUGCGGUGCUGCUACCUGCAGGCCUGAGGGGCUGCCCCCGGCUCCAUCUCAGGAUGCUAUGUCCCAGUCGGACCCCUUGGAGCUCCUCCCACCGUGGCUGGAUUCUGGCCCUGGGAGCAGAGGCUGGCAACCCCCGUCCCCACUGCUCCCUUGUCCAUCUGUGAGUAGACCCCUAGGGAGGCGGUCGGCCAUCUCAGUGCCUUCCCGUGGCCGGGGUGGGGAGGAGGUGCAGGCAGGGCGGCGUAAACACUGGCCCUUUACUUUCCCAUAGCUGGGGAGGCUGUGACGGCUCAGAAGCCAGGGCUGGUUUUCAGCAAGUCCUCUGCCCACGGCGCCUCUGCUGUGUCCUCUGCUUACGAGGUCCUCAGCCCCGUUGGGCCAGAGCCCUGCCCCGUUGAACUCAUGCCCCCUUCGGCACAGCCCUGGAGGUCCCAUCUCGCACGCAGUGACACAGGGCUCAGGGCUUGGGCCCGAAUGGACUCUGGGGGAGACAGUUCUGUGUGUCAGGUGUGGAGAGCUGGAGUCAUCAACUCUUCAAUCAGGGAUGGGGAGGAGCAGAUGUGGAGAGGGGGGCAGGUGCAGGGCCUGGGUGGGCUGGGGGCAUCUGGGCACAGGUGGAGCUGGCGGGGACCAGGGCGGGAGGAGGCACCUCCUGGGAGCCAGGUCAGGUCUCUGCUGUGAGUUCUGCCGCACCCGUCUCAGACCAGUCCACUCCCCUCUGCUAGCCUCGGCUUCCACUUGCAGGGGGCGCCGCGUGCUCUCCUGGGAGCGAAGGGGGAUCUGAUGAGGUCGUGUGCUUGGCCCAGGGCCUGUUAGUAGCUGCCCGGUAAACACUGCCAUCCAUCUGGGAGUGUGGAGUUAGGGUUUAUCUAUUGUUGGCACGCUGGACUGGAGAACAGCAUCUUCCGACCCAGCCGCUUAGCUGUCCAACCCUUCCCCGUAUCUCAUCGGCUGGGGGAAGUGACUGCAUUUCACAGCCUCCAUGGUAGAUGGUAGCGGUAGUUCAUGGUGUUUUCUGGGGGUAUUUACUGUUUUUUUUUUUUUUUUUUAAGAUUUAUUUAUUUGAGAGAGAGAGAGAGAGAGAAGGGGGAGAGAGAGAGAAAGAGAGAGAUUUUUUGCAUCUUCCAGAUUCACUUUCCAAUUGGCCAUAACAGCCAGGUCUGGACCAGCCUGAAGCCAGGAGCCAGGAGCUCCAUCCUGGUCUCCCACGUGGGCGGCAGAGGCCCAAGCACUUGGGCAUCUUCCAUUGCCUCCCAGGCGGGCGCAUUAACAGCAAGCUGAUUGGCAGCUGAGCAGCCAGGACUUGAACCAGAAACCCCGACAUGGGAUGCAGGUGUUCCGAACGCCAGCCCCUGGGGUGUUUAAAUUCUGCUUCUGUCAUUAGAAUUGAGCACCCACUUGGAGCCUUUCCUGUGGGAGCCACCAGGGGGUGAGGAAGAAGGAGGGCAGAUGGGUAAAGACCAGGUCAUGGUUCAGAUCUUUAAGAUUUCACGGCCAGGCCAGGGGGAAGAAACCAGCUCCUGGGGAGCUGGAGAUGAGGGGCUAGGACCGUCUACUAAGGCACAGGUUCUGAGUCCUUGAGGCGCGGGGAUAAAACCCCUGAGGCUGAACCCACCAGAGCCUUGAAGGAGGAAAAAAAUAUGUCUAGACAAGAGCUUAUUGGGGGGAAGAAUUAGAGCGGAGAGCCACAUAGUAUGUUCUAGAUGUUGAAAAGAGAGUCCCGAUGCAGCGGGUUUCUCUAGUGCAGGGCUUAUCAGAGCGUUUAGAAUGCUCACGGUAAUUCUGGAUGUCCAGGGACAUCCAGGACAAAGAAGGGAGGGCUCCUAGCUUCUCUGGACACGCCAUUCUUUUCUCAUAGAAAUCAUUGUGAACCAUGAGAGAUGCGAGGCUGGGGGGUUGGGAAGGAAAAUGUAGCAGGGAGGUAGAUGGCAUAGCGAGGUGCCCUCAGGUGCAUGGUAGCAUCCACAGGAAAGGGGGCAGAGCAGGAGGGGCCAGGGAUGUGAACUUGGCUGCAAGAGCCAGGUCAACUCACUGCAGAUUCUGGAGGGCGUGGGGGAGAACAGGCCAGUGGUUGGAGCAGGUAGAGACCUGGAGGAUGGUGAUGGCGUCCACCGGGCAUGGUGGCUCUGGGGGACUGGGUGUUUGGUGGUGUGAUGCUGGUGUAGUGUGAGUGUGCCCAGGUGUGAAAGCACCCAGCCCCCAGGGGAAUGGGCUGCCUAGAACCGAGGUAGGGGUUUCCAUUCAGAACAAGUAGAGAACUUUCGGGAGAACAAUCCACCACAUUCCCCCUGCCGUCGGAAGAAGGGGCUUGGAGACCACAGCCACAUGCUUCCGGGCAGGGUGCACGUGGUUGGGUUUGAUUCUGUGGGACCCCGGAGACUUCCAGGUGGACCCCCUGCCUGGUGGGGCCCCGCUCCCGGGCUGGCGGGCUGCAGCUGGAGGGGCCGGGGAAGUGUGUUGCAUGUGUGAUUAACCUACUAACCCAGGGCUCGGCCGGGACGCUGUGUGACGAGGUGCUGGCCUUCUGCCAACCAACUAACCCACUAACCAGGCCCGAGCAUGCCCUACUAACCCCUCCCGCAGCCAGACCCUACUAACCCGCGCAGCUCAUGGGCCUUUCCAGGGGCUGGGACGUGGGGGCAGAGGAGGCUCUGCAGGACCCUCCCUGCCUGAGGGCUGGGGUCUUUGUGCAGACCCACAAUGCAGGGCAGGGCGAGUCAUGCCCACGCACCAAUUCUGCCACUUCCUGUCCGUGACUCUGAACACAACAUUUCUCUGGUCCUGUUCCCGCUGACCCCUACCUCACAGGCUGCAGUGAGGCGUGCCCAGAAUAAAGGGUCUUGGCACAGGGCA
ensembl:lncRNA